UGCUAAUCUGGUAGGGUCCGUCACGC
rnacentral:sRNA from 1 species